rnacentral:lncRNA from 1 species
GCCAAUCUCAUUAUAUCAUAUAUGAAGCCAAAUUCAAUUUACAAAAACAACCACAUAAAUUAUCAUUUUCAUGACAAUAUGAAGAAAAAAAAGUUUCAAUGCACAAUAAGGAUGCAAGAGUGCAUUAAGAUAUACUUUAAAGAAAAACAUCAAUACAUAGACUCAAUCUAUUUCUCUCUUCCUCUAAACAAUAAUUCAAAAAUAAUCAUAGCUCCUUUUUUCCAUUAAUUUGGUUGAUAACUUCAAACUCCAGGUCCCUCCCUCUUUAGGACAUAUAGAUCGAAGGCCCAAAACCAAAUUGAUAAUCUUCUAUCAUAUCCUACAAUCUAAAGUUCCCUGCAUAAAAUUUGGAAAUUCAUCAUAUCUGAGAUAAAAAGAUAACUACAUUGAAUGUUACCAGCAUAUAGUUAUAUUGAACAUAGUUUAUCCAUAGUCAUGGAGAAAAUCAAAUGGAUAAUCAAAUCAAGAAUAACUAACAUCUAAAAAGCAAGCAAUCAAGCAGAAAAAAUAAUCUUAAUUGUUAAAAAAUAAAUUUCAAUAUAAAUAAAAAAUAAAUAUAAUUCACACAAUAAAAGUGCUAAUUUUGCCAAGACAAUUAUGAUGUUCAAAUGUUACAAAUAGAACCACGUUGCUCCUAUGUGACAAAAAAUUUACCUCAUUAGUAUUGCUUGUACUUUUCACCUCAUUAGUUUAAAUGAGAACAUGCAUGGUGUAUAUAGAAGUUUUUCAUCUAUGUUUCAAUCCCCACCACUUAAGCCAUGCUCAAUAAAAAUCUAAUUCCACCGACCAAACAAAACUAAAGAAAUUCAAUUAAUUGAAAUAUCACAAAGAGACAUAAUCAGAGAAAAUUAAUGCAGAAGUUAGAAUCUUUUUACCUGCAUUUCAAAAGGAAAAAAGGCAUAAUCAGGUAACCUAUAUCAAACACCACCAAUAUUUCCCCAUACUAUAAUACUCUGCAAUUCAAGUGCAAAAAAAAAACCAUAAGAAGCUAAAAUAUAAUCAAAUACCAAUCAAUUUUCCGUUAAAAAAAAGUCAAUUACUUCAACACUCAACAUGUCAAAAUUAUCUUCUUCUAACCCUUUAUUUAUUUA